GAUCGACUGGUGGAGUGGUUACCACAUCUGUCUUGCAUCCAUGCUUUAACGGCGCGAUGUAAACCGACAGAAGGUCGCGGGUUCGAUUCCUGCGUCGAUCU